rnacentral:rRNA from 1 species
GAUGAACGCUGGCGGCGUGCCUAAUACAUGCAAGUCGAGCGAAGAGACGAGGAGCUUGCUCCUCUUACGUUAGCGACGGACGGGUGAGUAACACGUGGAUAACCUACCUAUAAGACUGGGAUAACUUCGGGAAACCGGAGCUCAUACCGGAUACUAUAUUGACCCGCAUGGUUCAAUAGUGAAAGACGGUUUUGCUGUCACUUAUAGAUGGAUCCGCGCUGCAUUAGCUAGUUGGUAAGGUAACGGCUUACCAAGGCAACGAUGCGUAGCCGACCUGAGAGGGUGAUCGGCCACACUGGAACUGAGACACGGUCCAGACUCCUACGGGAGGCAGCAGUAGGGAAUCUUCCGCAAUGGGCGAAAGCCUGACGGAGCAACGCCGCGUGAGUGAUGAAGGUCUUCGGAUCGUAAAACUCUGUUAUUAGGGAAGAACAAAUGUGUAAGUAACUAUGCACGUCUUGACGGUACCUAAUCAGAAAGCCACGGCUAACUACGUG